rnacentral:misc_RNA from 1 species
GAUGAAGAACGUAGCGAAAUGCGAUAAGUAAUGUGAAUUGCAGAAUUCAGUGAAUCAUCGAAUCUUUGAACGCAUCUUGCGCUCCUUGGUAUUCUGAGGAGCAUGCCUGUUUGAGUGUCAUUAAAUUCUCAACUACACUGACUUUGAAUUGGUGUGGCUUGGAUUUGGGGGGAAAAUUGUUGUGGGCUUUUUGUAUAGUCUGCUCCCCUGAAAUUGAUUAGCGGUACCUUUGUGGAACUGUCUACAGGUGUGAUAAUUAUCUACAUCCUAGACAUCUGCUGGAAUGCUGCUUUCUAAACCUUACUUGUAUUGACAAUCUUGACCUCAAAUCAGGUAGGACUACCCGCUGAACUUAAGCAUAUCAAUAAGCGGAGGA